AUUGAACGCUGGCGGCAUGCCUAACACAUGCAAGUCGAACGGUAACAGGCCCUUCGGGGUGCUGACGAGUGGCGGAUGGGUGAGUAAUACUUAGGAAUCUACCCUGUAGUGGGGGACAACCCGGGGAAACUCGGGCUAAUACCGCAUACGCUCUACGGAGGAAAGCGGGGGACCGCAAGGCCUCGCGCUAUUGGAUGAGCCUAAGCCCGAUUAGCUAGUUGGUGGGGUAAUAGCCUACCAAGGCAAUGAUCGGUAGCUGGUCUGAGAGGACGACCAGCCACACUGGGACUGAGACACGGCCCAGACUCCUACGGGAGGCAGCAGUGGGGAAUAUUGGACAAUGGCGAAAGCCUGAUCCAGCGAUGCCGCGUGUGUGAAGAAGGCCUGCGGGUUGUAAAGCACUUUC
rnacentral:rRNA from 1 species